UACGUAGGGUGCGGGCGUUAAUCGGAAUUACUGGGCGUAAAGCGUGCGCAGGCGGUUCGUUGUGUCGGCGGUGAAAGCCCCGGGCUUAACCCUGGGAAUGGCCGUCGAAACUGGCGAACAUGGAGUGUGGCAGAGGGGGGUGGAAUUCCGCGUGGUAGCAGUGAAAUGCGUAGAGAUGCGGAGGAACACCGAUGGCGAAGGCAAUCCCCUGGACCUGUACUCGACGCUCAUGCACGAAAGCGUGGGGAGCAAACAGGAUUAGAAACCCGUGUGAGA
rnacentral:rRNA from 1 species